rnacentral:rRNA from 1 species
CAGCAGCCGCGGUAAUACGUAGGGUGCAAGCGUUAAUCGGAAUUACUGGGCGUAAAGCGUGCGCAGGCAGUUUGUUAAGUCUGCUGUGAAAUCCCCGAGCUUAACUUGGGAACUGCAUUUGAAACUGGCAAGCUAGAGUCUUGUAGAGGGGGGUAGAAUUCCAGGUGUAGCGGUGAAAUGCGCAGAUAUCAGGAGGAACACCGGUGGCGAAGGCGGUUCUCUGGGCAUUACCUGACGCUGAGGAGCGAAAGUGUGGGGAGCGAACAGGAUUAGAUACCCCCGUAGUCCCUGUCUCUUAUAC